CAUCUCAAAAAUCGAUCUUUUUCUCCAAUUGCAUCCUUACAUGGAUAGAUAAUGUGGUGCUUGGUAUCUACUACCUCUGUUUUAAAAUAAAAGGCGUUUUGGUAGGCCAAGACCUACCAAAACAUCAUAUUGAAAUAGAGGCAGUACUGUUUCUCCAAAACAGGUCUCGGUCACAUGAGGUUAUUUAGAAAUAUAGAGGCAGUAAUAUUUUCGUUUGUACUAAAAUGUGGCAUACAAUCAGGGGCAUGCUGGACUGGACACGGCCAUGUCAUCUGAAUUGGUUACUUCCAAGCGGCAUCUGUUUCGGAGUUAAUAUCCUAAGGAUGGCUAUCUCUGCGUUCUCUCAGCGCGCCGCUUUCAGUUCCCUGUGCCUGAGCCCACAGUCAGCGGUAAACUUUCUAUUCUCAAAGUAAACCUCAAGGCAUUGACAUGUGUUCAUAUUCUGAUAUGUAUAGCCUUUCUUCCAAGAGCCUAUCUCAAAGAGAGCUAAACCGUUUUGGGAGUAUACAAUCAAGGGCCGAAGUGCUUGGGGCCAUUCCAAUCCAAGUAUGCAGCUGAAUGUUGGCUCAUUAAAUUUUAAUAUUGAGCACAAUGAUGCAUCUUUUGUUGGUAGCUUCGAAGCUUGUGAAAAAUAUUGUCUCUUGAUACUGUCUAGAGGUUCCUCACGAGUCUUGUGCAUUAACGUUUCGGUUCUCAAUCAAUUAUGUUUUUCGAAUAGUCAGCAUGAUAUAAAUUGGUUUUAGAAAUGUGUUAUUUUUCAUAAAUAUGGAUUUUCAGUUCACCGAUUUAACUGGCAUGCUUCGCAUGUUGUUCCUGGUGACUGUUGAGCUCUUGUGUCAUUUGAAUUGAGCCUCUCACUUCACAUCAUUUCAACUAUAUUGGUGAGUUUAAGUUGUAGUAUAGCUGUAUAUGUGUUUGUAAGUGAUAUGCUUUUCAGAUCUGUAAUAUCCAUCGCCUUGUAUGGGCAAUACUCCCUCCGUCCCAUACCAAGUGACUCAAAUUUGCACAAAUAUGGAUGUAUCUAUGCCUAAAAAGCAUCAAGAUACAUGUAAUAGAAAGUCACUUAAUAUGGGACGGACGGAGUAAUAAAUUAGGAAGUGUUACUUCCAGAUUUUUUUCCUCUUGCAUGUAUGGUUGGUUUGUAAGCUGUAGUAAAAUUACAGCAGUUUCAGGGGCGGAGCCAGCAUACCCUUGUUGAUUUCAGGUGAACCAAAUGAAACUUCCCAAACCUUUAUUGGAUUAGUCUUUACCCAUACUUAUUAGUCAAAGAAUACACUGUAAUAUAGUGUUGAGCUCAAUGGCGUUCCCCCUUGGCUUCGCCGCCGGUCAGUCUCACCUUUUUUUUUCACUUUCCAGGUAUUGCAAGCAGCAAGCAUGACAAUACAACAAUGUGUUCUAGGCUUCUCGUAAGUGUUAGCAUGGGGCUCCAGAUACUCCUAAAUAGCUGGCUUGCAAAUCGUAGAAUAGGGCAAAUUUUCAGUUAGUUAGGAUUACAUGUUACUGUACCAAUAUUGAGCCAGUAUGGGAUGUAAAUAUGAUUGGAUUCAGAUGGCAUUCGUUAUGGUUGUUACCAAUUUUAUAGUAGAACAAUUAUCA